GAUGAACGCUGGCGGCGUGCCUAAUACAUGCAAGUCGAGCGAACAGACGAGGAGCUUGCUCCUCUGACGUUAGCGGCGGACGGGUGAGUAACACGUGGAUAACCUACCUAUAAGGCUGGGAUAACUUCGGGAAACCGGAGCUAAUACCGGAUAAUAUAUUGAACCGCAUGGUUCAAUAGUGAAAGACGGUUUUGCUGUCACUUAUAGAUGGAUCCGCGCCGCAUUAGCUAGUUGGUAAGGUAACGGCUUACUAAGGCAACGAUGCGUAGCCGACCUGAGAGGGUGAUCGGCCACACUGGAACUGAGACACGGUCCAGACUCCUACGGGAGGCAGCAGUAGGGAAUCUUCCGCAAUGGGCGAAAGCCUGACGGAGCAACGCCGCGUGAGUGAUGAAGGUCUUCGGAUCGUAAAACUCUGUUAUUAGGGAAGAACAAAUGUGUAAGUAACUAUGCACGUCUUGACGGUACCUAAUCAGAAAGCCACGGCUAACUACGUG
rnacentral:rRNA from 1 species